CUUUUUGUCUUUUUAGGGCUGUACCCGAGGCAUAUGGAGGUUCCCAGGCUAGGGGUCCAGUCGGAGCUCUAGCCACCAACCUAUACCACAGCCACAGCCAUGCUGGAUCCAAGCUACGGCUGCAACCUACACCACAGUUCACGCAACACUGGAUCCUUAACCCACUGAGCAAGGUCAGGGAUCGAACCCACCUCCCCAUGGAUGCUAGUCAGGUUUGCUAAUCACUUGAGUCACAAUGGGAACUCCUUAAUUAAUUUUCAAUCUUCUUCCAUUCUCAAUUGUCUUUAUUAACCUUAAAGCCUUUUCCUAAACAUUAAAUAUCUAGAGAUAUAAACUGAAUUUUAAUUGCUUGGUGCCCCAAUUCUUUAUUUUCUUUCUAGUCACCCUAAAUCCCAAGGCAGUCAUGGCACAGAUUUUCUUUGCUCUGAUCUUUGUAUUUCUUAUAAUACUCUUUCCACAAACAUAAAUACACUUCUUAAACAACUGUUUACAUGGUACUGUGCAGACUACUUAUAAUAGCAAUUAACAUUUACUUCCAUCUAGAGUGUCUUGUCUUCAUGAUGACCUUUAAUUUUACUCUAAGACCCCAAAUCAAAUUUAGCUUAUGAGACUAAGCUAAAUCCUGUAUCUGACACAAACUGUCUUCAGUACCCUAUUCUCAAUGUGAAAAAUACAGUAAGAGUUCAAUAAAUAUUAAAUAAUAAAACUGCUUCUCUCUAAAUUAGACUACUGUUUAGUUUUAUAAAUAGUGAAUUCAUCUCUCUUCUCUUCUAUAUACAGUCACCCCAUCAGUAGGCUCUUUUUCAGAGUAGCCCCGCAAGAUAAUCUUAUUAAAUUGCACUGAGUGAUAGUUCUGUUUUUAAUUUAUACCUGUUAAUUUUUAAAAAAGGAUAUUAUCUACAAUUGGGCUUAUUAAUCUUUUCUAAGAACUAUGGAGGUUUUAGGUAGACUAUAAGAGAAGCGUAUCAGGGAGUUCCCGUCAUGGCUCAGCAGUUAACGAAUCUGACUUAGUAUCCAUGAGGACUUAAGUUCGAUCCCUGACCUUGCUCAGUGUGUUAAGGAUCCGCUGUUGCCAUGAGCUGUGGUGUAGGUUGCAGAUGCACUGCUGUGGCAUAGGCCAGCAGCUGUAGCUCUGAUUAGAUCCCUAGCCUGGGAAUCUCCAUAUGCUAUGGGUGCGGCCUUUGGGGAGAAAAAAAAAAAAAAGAAAGAGUGAAGAAUAUCAGGGCAUAACAUUUUCAUGGGACACCCCCCUGCAUUAGCAAAUAUCACCCUAUACACUAUACAAUUUUUUUAAAAGGUGAUUUGGAUUUUUAAUGUUAAACAUAAAUUGCCAAUACCAGAAUUCAUUUCUUUAAGCACAAAUAAGUAUUAUAUACAGGAAUAUCUAUGGGCACUGAGUUAUACGUAAAAACAACACAAAGGCAGGAUUCCAUAGUCAUAGAACUCAGUAUAGUAGGAGACAGACUUUAUCAAACAUUAGAGAGAUAAACUAAAUGCUGCAAAGAAAAAAAAAAUACUCUAAGAACAUAUAAUAGAGAAAUACAUAUUACUAUGAAAGUUCAGGGAAGGCUUUUUCCAAGAAAACAAAAGGUGAGGUUACCAAAGUUGAGGAGGAAGAAUGAAAUGAUUUAGGAAAUUGUACAAAGUCCCAGUGGAGGUUGAGUCCCAUAGUCCUGGAGGAAGUGACCUAGCAGAGCAGCCAUUAGAACAAGGAAAAACGGUGAGAGAUGAGUCUAGAUAGCUAAGCAGGAUUUAGCUAAUGCAAGACCUUGUUGGCUAUAGAAAGAAUUUUGGUUGUCAUCCUAAGAAUAACAGAAUGCUAUUGAAGAAUUUUAAGCAUGUGUAUGACACAGAAAGGUUUGAAAAGGACACUUUAGUGUGUACUUCUGCAAAGAAGACUAAAGAGUUUGAGUUAAUAUUUGAAAACUGGGGAGUGUUCACAGAAGUGUAAGAUAUAAGUUUCUGAGAUAUAUUUAUGAAAUCCUGACUCCCAAUCAAUGCUCUUGCCUCUAAACCAGGAGCAUUUUGAUUGAAUUAAGAUUAUUUAUGAAAUAAUCUUAUUACUUCCAUUUUUGUUUUAUUGUAACUAUAUACUACAAGUAAAAAGCUCUGAUUUAAGAACUAAUUCUCACAUUUCUUAGGAUUAAUUAAUGAAGCAUUUAUAUAACUUGGUAUUUUGGAUGCUUAUUUUUUAUUACUCACAUAUCCUUAUGUUAAUAUGUCAUUUUAACAUCUGAAAUAAAUUUUGAAACUUAUAGUUUAUGCAAUUAAAGUUACAGAUUUUAUAGUAAAAUACUAUCAUAUAGAUGUGUUCUCAUUAAUAUUGUGAGUACCAAUGUCUCAAAUGAAUAAAAUUAGUAGGCAUAGAUGUACAGUUUUAAAAUGUUUUUAUUUCAUUUAAUAGCUUUCUGAGAGAAUCUGUACUUGAAAUAUAUUACAGCAUGCAAAUUUCACAGCUACUAGCUUGAUUAGAAACAGAAAGUCACCUUAGAUUUCCUCGCAUUAUGUCAAAGGGAUCCAUUUGAAUUUUGUCUAACAAUGUCUUUUUUUACAUGGGAGAACUGACGAGGCUAUGAAGUCAACAUAUGUUGUAUUUAGGAACAUGCAUGAUAAAACUAUGAAUCAGAUUUAAUGCCCUUUUCAGGGUGUUAAACUCAAGUACAAUAAGGGUCAGGAAGGUAAAACAAAUUUUUUUUUUUUCCUUUUAGUCAUAGAACUUAAGUCCUUGAAAAUCUGAUACAUAGGUCCUUGGAUCUUCCCCAAUGUUGUUAGAAUCAUCCAGGUCCUGUGUCUUACAUUCCUCACAUCCUUAAUGGACCCAAAUCUUGCUCUCAAUGCUGGUACCAAUAAUCAUGUGGGUCACUGUUUUCAGUUUCAGAGACUCCUCUUUACAAAAUAGUUUUACAUGACAUAUUAUAUAAAUUGCAGUCUCCUGGAUAACCAUAAAACCUGGUCAAAAGAGCAAGAAAAAAUUCCCAACACACCCUUGGACAACUCUAGCAAAAAUGUCAAUAGCAUUGCACUCAGCAAUGACUACCCAAUAGCGCUUCCCAAUAUGGAUGGGGAAGUAAAUUAUUUAACUUCAAGUUAAUUAUUAUCUAUCAUUGCACUGUAAAAAAAAUGUUCUUUUCAGAAAUAUCUUGCUUCAUAGUGCUCCAUUAGCUGAUCAUAAUUGCAGACCUCAGAUUGCUGUAUAAACAGCUAAUACUCAACCGUCUUAUUAGUUCCAGUGGCUUUUGAUGCUGCCAGUUUUUUUCUAUAUAGAGGAUUACAUAAUUUGCAAAUAAUGACAUUUUAGUCCAAACUCUUUCAAUCCAUACACUCUCAUUUUUCUCUCUCUUCUUCCUUUACUUGGUCUCUCCAUAUUUCUGUCUUCUCUUCCUUCCCCCCUCCCUUCCAUCUUUUUUUAAACAUAUUUUGGCUAUGUCUGUAGCAUGCAGAAGUUUCCCAGGACCAGGGAUUGAACCUGCACCACAGCAGUGACAAUGCCUGUCCUUAACCCACUGCACCACCAGGGAACUCUCUCCUUUCCAUGUUCUUAUACCAUAAGACAUUUAGUACUACAAUAAAGAGUGGCUAUGCUAAUGAGAAUCUCUGUCUUUCUCUUAUUCUCAAUUGGAAAGUGUCUAUAUAGGUAUUUGGUAUAUAAUUUUCACCAUAUUCGGAAAGCCUCCUUAUUUAUACUGUCAUAUCUAUUUUUUUAAGCAUUAAUCUUUAUCAAAUGCUGUAAUCUGUGAUAUAACAGGAACUGCAGCUGCUAACCUACGCCACAUCAACACCACAUCUGAGCCAUGUCUGUGACCUACACCAUAGCUCACAACAAUGCUGGAUCCUUUACCCACUGAGAAAGGCCAAGGAUCGAACCUGCAUCCUCAUGGAUGCUAAUUGGGUUGGCUUCCACUGAGCCACAAGGGGAACUGCUAUACACUUUCUUCUCUAGUUCAUUAAUGUGGUAAAUUAUAAUGCUAACAUUUUUCAAUAAAUAUUUGGGGGGAUAAUUCUUAUACGAUAUGACACAUUAGUUUUAAUACACUGUUGGAUUCACUGAAGAAUUAUUUUAUCUAGGGAGUUCUCAUUUAUAUUCAUAAGAGAAACAGAUGUAUUUUUUCAUAUUUUCUUUAUGUGGUUUGAGAUUAUACUGACUUCAUAAAGUGUUACCUUUAGCUAUUUCUCUCUUCUUUUGGAAAAAUAUGCAAACGUCUUCUUACUUUGGAAGUUUCUAGAAUUUGCUCUUUUACAAGUUUAAAUUUUAAAUAUAACAUUCUGAUUUACACAGGUUUCUUUUAACUAGGGAGUAUGGUUUCCAUAUGUAGUUUCAAUGAGAAGAUAAACUAUAAAUGUUAUAAGUUUAUUAACAUUAUUUCUUCAAACAUUGCUUUCAUUUUGGUAUUUUAUAUCUAACUACUGACAAUUUUACUUCUGUUCUCCCAAUUUCUUAGUAUUUAUCUCACUGUCUUUUCCUAUUCCUUUAAAAUUGUCAUCUAUUCCUUCUUUAACUGUCUGUAAUCAGCAUUUUAUUCAUCUAUCACAAGUAAAAUUUAUACUUAAUAUUUUCUGUAUAUUACUAAUAUUUUUCCAUAAUAAACUUCCAUAAAAUGUAUUACAAUUAAAUUCUUAUUCUAUCUCUUCCAAAAUUCAGCAUCAUGUGUUACAUAUGUUAUUUUUUAUAGCAGAUUUACUUUUCAGAUAUUACUUUGUCUUAUAACUUCAUGUUCCCCUGGUAGUAUCAGCUAACAUUUUUGAUAAUUCAUUACAGGAGGCAGGUCCUAGCUGUGGCCAUCCAGGCGAACUAAGGGACAUUAGAGAGAUAAUCCCCAGGUUCAAGAAUAUCAUGAAUCUUCAAUAUAUUUUGAUCAUUGUUGUGACUUACCAUUCUAACCACUAAUUCUGUCCUCAGUUCCUCCUUAUAUGCUGAAUUACAAGGUCUAGGCUAAAUUACUGUAUCAAAGAGACCCAGCGUUAAAAUAGCUUCCACAGAAGAGAACUGUGUUCCUUUUUCACUUAAUAGUCAAGAGGGAGUUGUCUAGAGCUAGUGAAGUGGCCACAAAGUCACUGAAAGACUAAGAAUAAAAGGUGGCUCUGAGUCCAAGUUGGCUGGUUAUCAUUUUUAUGACAGCAAGAAAGGAAGGCAUGGGAAGGACAAGAAAUUUUCAAUUAUAAACACAGAAACUAGACAUGUAAACAUUGUUUCCAUUUAUAUUCCAUUGACCUGAAUUGUAUCAUAAGGCCACAUGUAGUUACAAAGGAAGCUAGGAAACAUAACAUCUAUUUGGGCAGACUUGUGCCCUGCUACAAUUCAGGUGGUUCUAUUACCAAGGCAACAAAGUCUGAAUAGAUGCUAGAAGAUAAUUACCAAUUUCUUAUACAAGAAAAAUUACUCUUAGGAAAAAUACUCAGAAAAUCCUGUGUAUCUAAGACUCAUAUCACUAAUCCUUCGGUUUGGAGGAGGUAAAUAUAAAGCAAUGAACUUCCAAUCUUGUCCUACACUUGAUCCCUUGGCAUUUCAGGCCAUCAAGGCCUAUUUUUAGGACACUGCUAGAGAGUUCUGUGGUGAUGGCAAUAAUAUUCCCAAGACAAUGUGAUUCUAGGAUCAGAAUUUUAAAACUCUUUUCCACUGUAGUCUUGUGCUGCAAUUAUCCUUUCUCCCAGGAUGCUGUUAAU
rnacentral:lncRNA from 1 species